rnacentral:rRNA from 1 species
UACGGGGGAGCAAGCGUUGUUCGGAUUUACUGGGCGUAAAGGGCGCGUAGGCGGCCACCGCAAGUCGGUUGUGAAAUCUCUGGGCUUAAACCCCAGAAAAGGUCAAUCGAUACUGCGGGGCUAGAGUGCAGAAGGGGCAACUGGAAUUCUCGGUGUAGCGGUGAAAUGCGUAGAUAUCGAGAGGAACACCUGCGGCGAAGGCGGGUUGCUGGGCUGACACUGACGCUGAAGCGCGAAAGCGUAGGUAUCGAACGGG